CACGCCUUGGUGAUAACAAAGGUGGAGUCGCUUAAAAAAAAACUGUCAGGUAUCUGCCAGAUGCCAGCUGUUCCCCAGGUGAUCCUUUGUGCCUUACCACAGUCUGAGGCUACAGAAGCAACAAAAAUUAAAGUUAGGAUUAAGGUUCCUUCUGGAGAUUAAAGCCUGCUGCUGUUAGAAUGAUCCUCCUUGGGAACGACUCGGGCUACACCACCUGAUGUCUCCUAGUUCAGUGAGUCUGGGUAAACGGUCUCAGGAAAUCCAGUACCAUCUCGCUGGUGUCCACAUUCAUGCCCUUUCCUACCCAGUGUUUAAGAAGCAGGUAGAAGGGAAAACAGCUCAUUUCCCUCCCUACCUCCAGUCCUGUCUCUCCUCUGCACUGAUGGGUCGGGGAAUGAGGUUUACAGUGUUUUGCUUGACUGACGUAGAUUCUUCAGAAGCAACCCUUCAGCAAGGCUGCGUUUGCCUCAACCUCAUGUACAGAGGCUGUCCCAGCUGCAAGUUCACUGAACUCAAGUUAUUUUACAGAAAUGACGUUGUGGAACACAUCCCUGCUAAACCACUACCACUUUGUCAUUGAGAACUUGAGGGAAUGAGGAUUUCUUGUCGAACAGAUCCCAACCAAAUGGAAUCCCUGUUCUUUUAUACUCAUCCUGAUGGGCCCAAUGCACUUGAUGGGCUACAACUUAGAAGACUUAGGCUGCACCGGGCAGCAGAGCCACCAGAAAAACCACUCAGGUUCAAGCAGCAGAGAAAUGCUUGGAGAAGAUGAAAACACGAAAGGAUCUGUGAGGUGAGUUUGCCUUAUGACCUCCUUUCUGAUAUUGCUCAUGUAGUUAGCCGACAGUUUUCCACCCUGAUUUCCAACAGUACUCCACGGGACCGCAGCCCGGACCCUCGCCCUGCGCCUUUCCGAGCCGUGCGCGGCCACACACCCAUCAGGAAACCGCUAACGAUUGGUGAACACACACCGCUGAGCUAGCUCAGGGCUCCGCCCUGCCUCCUAAAUGUGAUGGGCUAGUAGAAAAGGCUGAAAACUGCACCAUUUAAAAAAAUGCAGAGCUCCCCUUCAACGGGGGUAGGGAAUUAUAUAUCUUAAGGAAAUCAGCUGGUUACCUAAGACAUUCACUACAGCAUUAUCUGUUUUAUAGCAAAGGACACGUUUAAAAAAAAUUGAGGGGGAAAGUUAAUAUAGUCAUUCAACGGAGCGUUAUGUACCUGUUCAAGUUUGUGAAAAAAUAUGAAAGCAAAGAGAAUGUUUCUGUUCAAUAUUCAAUGAAAAAAAAGCCAAUUCAAAAAUAUCCAUCAUCCAUAUGAUCAAAAGUUGAAAGACUACACACAAAAAGAACAAUUUGUGUAAGUUAGGAAAUUUAUGGAGCAUAGUUUGCUUAAAUUUUUGCUUUAAUAUUUGUGAGAUGCACCACCCACACGGGUAAGCCUGAAGGGUUAUUACGAGGGUCAAAUUAUUCAAUAUACAAGUAAGGGCUAUGCAAUCAGACAUUAUGCCAUCCAAUUAGCUCUAAUUCAAAUCAAACAGAAAUAGACACACUCUGGCUGCUCCUCUGAAAAGAGGAGGAAGCUGAAAAGCUGAAAGCUCCCAGAACACAACAUUCACGCCCCUAGAGAGAUGCCUUCCAUCGCUUCUCAACGGUUUCAGGAGGUGAGGCAGGAAACGAAAGCGUGAACAGGAUGUGGCUGUGUUGAAACAAGGACAGGAAGUCUCUCUGUCCCCGAGCUUCUGAACUUAACACGUGUCCUUCAAGUCUCAUCUGCAGCAACCUUGGCAGGAAGCUCCAGACUGCAACCUGGACCUCGGUCCAGGCUGUUCACGGCCAGCACACACAGAGCAGGUCGUGUAAGCCCGGCAAGUCAUAGUUCCAGGUCCGGCUCUAACCCCAAGAUUGUUCCGAGGAGUGAUAUUAGGAUUGUAUCACUCAUCUGUAAGUGUCGAAACCUACCGUUUUUCUCUUUCUUUAACCUUUACCCGAAGAUAUGUUUACUGAUUUUAGAGAGAGAGAAACAUUGGUUGGCUGCCACCUGUACAACCUGACCUGGGGUGGAACCUGCAACCUGAUUAUGGGCCCUGACCGGGAAUUGAACCUGUGACCUUUUGUCCCAUGGGUUGACACUUUAACCCACUGAACCACCCGGUCAGGGCCUACUUCCUUUUGAAAAGAAAAACAAAAACUAUAAAUUCAUUUUAAUUGAUGUCUAGGAUUAAACUUUGCCCUUAAAUAUUAUCACUUUAUUCUGCUAUGAAAUAAUGGCAAAAGAAAAAAAACUUUGGGCUAAAGAGAUCAUUUUUAAAGUAGAUGGGAGAAAUGGAAAACCUGAAAAACUUCACUAGGGAAAACGUUUAAAUAAAUUGAAAUUACUCACUGUCCCCGUCACAAGUUCCACCAAAGAGACUAAAGGGUUAUUUUGAAAUCUGCCCAGCAUGGCCUCUAUGUCGAGUCCAAGCAAACAGUGCCACGCUGAUCCUGGGAUGGGAACCCUAAUUCACUCUUUUCCCAAAGAAAAAGGCAGUUGUUGCAUACUUCUCUAUAUAAGACGAGAGGAAAGAACAACAAAAUGAGCUCCAAAGGACUUUCUAAGGGGGUGGGAAGAGGAAAAAAAAAAAAGAACUUCUCUCUGUUCUUAUUUAGGGUGCACAAGCUGUAAUUUGUCUUAAAAACAGCUAGCUUUUUUUUUUUUCAAAUGCACGCCAGUAAAACCCCCCGCACAGAAACAAGCAGCAUCCAGCUUUUUAAAAUUCUGUCUCUACACCUCCUCACCCAAUGACAUCAGCUGGAGGCUCCCCACCUGCCCAGUUGCCAU